AGUCGUACGAGAGUUUUUAACUCAAGUGGCGGACGGGUGAGUAACACGUAAGAAUUUGCCUUUAGGAGGGGGACAACAACUGGAAACGGUUGCUAAUACCCCAUAUGCUUUCGAGUGAAAUGGAUUUUUCCGCCUAGAGAGAAGCUUGCGGCUGAUUAGCUUGUUGGUGAGGUAAUGGCUCACCAAGGCGACGAUCAGUAUCUGGUUUGAGAGGACGAUCAGACACACUGGAACUGAGACACGGUCCAGACUCCUACGGGAGGCAGCAGUGGGGAAUUUUCCGCAAUGAGCGAAAGCCUGACGGAGCAAUACCGCGUGAGGGAUGACGGCCUAUGGGUUGUAAACCUCUUUUUUCAGGAGGAAUAAAAUGACGUGUACCUGAAGAAUAAGCAUCGGCUAACUCCGUGCCAGCAGCCGCGGUAAGACGGAGAUGCAAGUGUUAUCCGGAAUCACUGGGCGUAAAGCGUCUGUA
rnacentral:rRNA from 1 species